GUCUACAGCCAUGCCACCCUGAACAAGCCCGAUCCUGUCUGAUCUCAGAAGCUAAGCAGGGCCGGGCCUGGUUAGUACUUGGAUGGGAGACCACCUAGGAAGACCAGGUGCUGUAGGCG
rnacentral:rRNA from 1 species